rnacentral:rRNA from 1 species
UACGGAGGGUGCAAGCGUUAAUCGGAAUUACUGGGCGUAAAGCGUGCGCAGGCGGUUUUGUAAGUCAGAUGUGAAAUCCCCCGGCUUAACCUGGGAACUGCGUCUGAUACUGGAAGGCUUGAAUGCGGGAGAGGGAUGUAGAAUUCCAGGUGUAGCGGUGAAAUGCGUAGAUAUCUGGAGGAAUACCGGUGGCGAAGGCGGCAUCCUGGACCGACAUUGACGCUGAGGCGCGAAAGCUAGGGUAGCAAACGGG